rnacentral:lncRNA from 1 species
GGCUAUUUCUCAUGGCCUGAAUCCCUGUGGAAUAUUUCACUUUAAGCACGGUCUGUGAAAUGGCGGGGGACUUACAAAAUGGUGCAGAUUGGACUUUCUUGCCUUCUACUUUAAUAUAAAAGGAAGAGGGGCGUUGUUGAUUAUCUGGCUGUUUCCUGUCGAAUUAGGGGCACUGUAACCAGGGUUUGGGUUUUGAAGUAGUGGGUGUUCGACUUUAGAGUUGUUUUCCUGGAAGCGCUGAUACUGGACUUAGUGGAGGAGAACGACGGUAUCAAUGUGUUUCUGGAUGACUGCCUGGACAAGGGAGUUCAGCUUUUGGGAGACUGACUGGGCUAUGAAGUGUACCUUUCUACUCUGCAGAGGCUGGAAAGGCAAAAAUGAUGGCUAAGGCUUCCUUGCAGACUGAGAACCCCUGGAGAAUACGAAAUGGUCUUUCCCAUCAGACAGGAAACUCCCAG